GAUUUUCUUGUUCUUGGUUCCCCACAAGAUGACUUUUGUCUCAUUAUAUUUGGUAGACCUUUCUUGAACACUGUUAAUGCUAAGAUAGAUUGUGUGAAACAAACUGUCGGUGUUAGUUUUGGUAAUGACUCUCAUGAGUUUAUUUUUUCCAAGUUUAGUAGAAAUCUUCAUGAAAAAGAAUUGCCUAGUAAAGAUGAAUUAAUUGGUCUUGCUUCUAUUGUUGUACCACCUACCGAUCCCUUAGAACAAUAUUUACUAGACCAUAAGAAUGACUUUCAUAUGCAUGAAAGAAAUGAAAUAGUUAAAAUUUUCUUUGAAUAA
rnacentral:rRNA from 1 species